GUCCCCGACCCCAGCUCAAACGUUUCCUCUUUCAGCCUUGAGGUGAUUUUUCCCACGGUUUUUACCUGCUGAGCUCCGUGGUGGAGGAGUCGGGGAAUAGAAGUAAAAGGAUGAAAAGACAGAGAAGAGAGCGAACAUGUUGAGUUCUUGCUAGAGACCAGGCACUGUGGUCGGCGUGUUCUUUGUUGUAAUUUUGACAACCCUCUAAGGGGACGUGGGUUCAAUCCUUGGUCAGGGAACCAAGGAUCCCACAUGUUGCAGGGCAACUAAGCCCACGUGCCACAACUACUGAGCAUGCAAACCACAACUAGAGAGACUGCCACAACUACAGAACCCACGCACUCUGGAGCCCACACACCGCAAUGAAGAUCCUGCAUGCUGCAAUGAAGACCAACGCAGCCAAGAAUAAAAUAAAUAAAUAAAUAUUAAAAAAUUUUUUAAGGGACUUCCCUGGUGGUGCAGUGGUUAAGAAUCUGCCUGCCAGGGCUUCCCUGGUAGCGCAGUGGUUGAGAGUCCGCCUGCCAAUGCAGGGGACAUGGGUUCGUGCCCCGGUCUGGGAGGAUCCCGUAUGCCGCGGAGCCGCUGGGCCCGUGAGCCAUGGCCGCUGGGCCUGCGCAUCCAGAGCCUGUGCUCCACAGUGGGAGAGGCCACAAAGGUGAGAGGCCUGCGUACCGCAAAAAAAAAAAAAAAAAAGAAUCUGCCUGCCAAUGCAGAGGACACAGGUUCGUGCCCUGGUCCGGGAAGAUUCCCACAUGCUGUGGAGCAAUUAAGCCUGUGUGCCACAACUAGUGAGCCUGUGCUCUAGAGCCCACGUGCCACAACUGAAGCCCACACGCCUAGAGCCUGUGCUCCGCAACAAAGAGAAGCCACCACAAUGAGAAGCCCGCACACCAUAAUGAAUAGUAGCCUCCACUUGCCGCAACUAGAGAAAGCCCACGCACAGCAAUGAAGACCCAACUCAGCCAUAAAUAAAUAAAUAAAUUCAUU